rnacentral:rRNA from 1 species
UACGUAGGUGACAAGCGUUGUCCGGAUUUACUGGGCGUAAAGAGCGCGCAGGCGGUCGAUCAAGUCGAGUGUGAAAGCCCCCGGCUCAACUGGGGAGGGUCAUUCGAUACUGAUCGACUCGAAGGCAGGAGAGGGUAGUGGAAUUCCCGGUGUAGUGGUGAAAUGCGUAGAUAUCGGGAGGAACACCAGUGGCGAAGGCGAACUACCUGGCCUGUUCUUGACGCUGAGGCGCGAAAGCUAGGGGAGCAAACGGGG